CGUCAAGGCUUGAAGUGAGUCAAAUGCUUGCUUCUAAAAGGCUGAGGCGUGAUGCGGAGCGAGAUAAAGUAGCGAAGGUCAUGAUGUCACACUGCCGAGAAAAGCUUCUAGCCAGAGAGAUAUUACCCGUACCGCAAACCGACACAGGUAGUCGAGGAGAGAAUCCUCAGGUGAGCGAGAGAACUCUCGUUAAGGAACUCGGCAAAAUGACCCCGUAACUUCGGGAGAAGGGGUGCUGAUCUCCGGAUCAGCCGCAGUGAAUAGGCCCAAACAACUGUUUAUCAAAAACACAGGUAUCUGCAAAACCGUAAGAUGACGUAUAGGUGCUGACACCUGCCCGGUGCUGGAA
rnacentral:rRNA from 1 species